AGAGUUUGAUCCUGGCUCAGAUUGAACGCUGGCGGCAGGCCUAACACAUGCAAGUCGAACGGUAACAGGAAGAAGCUUGCUUCUUUGCUGACGAGUGGCGGACGGGUGAGUAAUGUCUGGGAAACUGCCUGAUGGAGGGGGAUAACUACUGGAAACGGUAGCUAAUACCGCAUAACGUCGCAAGACCAAAGAGGGGGACCUUCGGGCCUCUUGCCAUCGGAUGUGCCCAGAUGGGAUUAGCUAGUAGGUGGAGUAACGGCUCACCUAGGCGACGAUCCCUAGCUGGUCUGAGAGGAUGACCAGCCACACUGGAACUGAGACACGGUCCAGACUCCUACGGGAGGCAGCAGUGGGGAAUAUUGCACAAUGGGCGCAAGCCUGAUGCAGCCAUGCCGCGUGUAUGAAGAAGGCCUUCGGGUUGUAAAGUACCUUUCAACGGGGAGGAAGGGAGUAAUGUUAAUACCCUUCUGCCUCAUUGACGUUACCCGCAGAAGAAGCACCCGGCAAACUCCGUGCCGGCAGCCGCGGUGAUACGGAGGGUACAAGCGUUAAUUGGAAUUACUGGGCGUAAAGCGCAGGCAGGCGGCUUUGUUAAAUCAGAUGAGAAAUCCCCGGGCUCAACACUGGGAACAGCAUCUGAUACUGGCAAGCUUGAGUCUCGUAGAGGGGGGUAGAAUUCCAGGUGUAGCGGUGAAAUGCGUAGAGAUCUGGAGGAAUACCGGUGGCGAAGGCGGCCCCCUGGACGAAGACUGACGCUCAGGUGCGAAAGCGUGGGGAGCAAACAGGAUUAGAUACCCUGGUAGUCCA
rnacentral:rRNA from 1 species